AUUCUUACCGGCAGGAGAGACACCAGGAUCACGAAGGUGGCUUUCCCAGGGCAAGGCUUAUCCAUUGCACUCUUGAUGUGCUGACCUUGUGACUCCCCCAAAUGCAGGAAACUCGACUGAUGAUGUGUGGUAGAAGGGGACUGCCUUCGCACUCUCGCCUC